GGAUUAGAUACCCGGGUAGUCUUGGCCAUAAACGAUGUUCACUAGGUGUCGGGGCUUUGCUUCGGUGCCGCAGCUAACGCAUUAAGUGAACCGCCUGGGAACUACGAUCGCAAGAUUAAAACUCAAAGGAAUUGGCGGGGGCCCGCACAAGCGGUGGAGCAUAUGGCUUAAUUCGAUGCAACGCGAAGAACCUUACCAGGGCUUGACAUGCAACUGCACGCUGUAGAGAUACAGUUCUUUCGAAGGUGUUGCACAGGUGGUGCAUGGCUGUCGUCAGCUCGUGUCGUGAGAUGUUGGGUUAAGUCCCGCAACGAGCGCAACCCUCACGGUCUGUUACCAGCGGAUAAUGCCGGGGACUCGGACUGAACUGCCUCUGUAAAGAGG
rnacentral:rRNA from 1 species